GUAACGGCCCAACAAGCCUUUGAUCGGUACGGGUUGUGAGAGCAAGAGCCCGGAGAUGGAUUCUGAGACACGAAUCCAGGCCCUACGGGGCGCAGCAGGCGCGAAAACUUUACAAUGCGAGAAAUCGUGAUAAGGGAACCCCGAGUGCCCGUAAAUUCGGGCUGUCCGCCAGUGCAAAUAGCUGGUGAAGAAAGGGCCGGGCAAGACCGGUGCCAGCCGCCGCGGUAAUACCGGCGGCUCGAGUGGUGGCCACUAUUACUGGGCUUAAAGCGUCCGUAGCUUGAUUGUUAAGUCUCUUGGGAAAUCCACCGGCUCAACCGAUGGGCGUUCAGGAGAAACUGGCAAUCUAGGGACCGGGAGAGGUGAGAGGUACUCCAGGGGUAGGAGUGAAAUCCUGUAAUCCUUGGGGGACCACCUGUGGCGAAGGCGUCUCACUAGAACGGCUCCGACAGUGAGGGACGAAAGCUGGGGGAGCAAACCGGAUUAGAUACCCGGGUAGUCCCAGCUGUAAACGAUGCGCGUUAGGUGUAUCGGUGACCACGAGUCAUCGAGGUGCCGAAGGGAAACCGUGAAACGUGC
rnacentral:rRNA from 1 species